AAUAUUGCGCAAUGGAUGCAACUCUGACGCAGCGACGCCGCGUGAGUGAUGAAGUUCUGCGGAUCGUAAAUCUCUGUCCUUGGGGAAGAAGAUCGAACGAUUUGACGGUACUCUAGGAGGAAGCCCCGGCUAACUCCUUGCCUGCCGCCGCGGUAAUACGUAGGGGGCAAGCGUUGUCCGGAAUUAUUGGGCGUAAAGGGUGCGUAGGCGGCUUUUUAAGUCAGAUGUGAAAGACCACGGCUUAACCGUGGGGUUGCAUUUGAAACUGGAGGGCUUGAGUAUCGGAGAGGGUAGUGGAAUUCCCAGUGUAGCGGUGAAAUGCGUAGAUAUUGGGAGGAACACCAGUGGCGAAGGCGACUACCUGGACGAAAACUGACGCUGAUGCACGAAAGCUAGGGGAGCAAACA
rnacentral:rRNA from 1 species